rnacentral:rRNA from 1 species
GACGAACGCUGGCGGCGUGCCUAACACAUGCAAGUCGAGCGAAUCGAUGGGAGCUUGCUCCCUGAGAUUAGCGGCGGACGGGUGAGUAACACGUGGGUAACCUGCCUGUAAGACUGGGAUAACUUCGGGAAACCGGAGCUAAUACCGGAUACGUUCUUUUCUCGCAUGAGGAGAGAUGGAAAGAUGGUUUCGGCUAUCACUUACAGAUGGACCCGCGGCGCAUUAGCUAGUUGGUGAGGUAACGGCUCACCAAGGCGACGACGCGUAGCCGACCUGAGAGGGUGAGCGGCCAAACUGGGACUGAGACACGGCCCAGACUCCGACGGGAGGGAGCAGUAGGGAAUCUUCCGCAAUGGACGAAAGUCUGACGGAGCAACGCCGCGUGAGCGAAGAAGGCCUUCGGGUCGUAAAGCUCUGUUGUUAGGGAAGAACAAGUACAAGAGUAACUGCUUGUACCUUGACGGUACCUAACCAGAAAGCCACGGCUAACUACGUGCCAGCAGCCGCAGUAAGAC